rnacentral:misc_RNA from 1 species
GAGAGGUUUCAUUGAAGGUACUGCUGUUAAAGCUAAUCCUGAUAGUGACGAAGCCAAGCUCAAAGUUAAAUUCUAUGUUCCUCCAUUCAUGCCUAUCAUUCCUGUUGUUGGAGAUUAUUGGGUUUUGUAUCUUGAUCAUGAUUAUCACCAUGCUUUGAUUGGCCAACCUAGCAGAAACUAUCUAUGGAUAUUGUGCAGGCAGAAUCAUUUGGAUGAGGAG